rnacentral:rRNA from 11 species
AAAUUGAAGAGUUUGAUCAUGGCUCAGAUUGAACGCUGGCGGCAGGCCUAACACAUGCAAGUCGAACGGUAACAGGAAGCAGCUUGCUGCUUUGCUGACGAGUGGCGGACGGGUGAGUAAUGUCUGGGAAACUGCCUGAUGGAGGGGGAUAACUACUGGAAACGGUGGCUAAUACCGCAUAACGUCGCAA